CCCCCUAUAGCUCAAUCGGCAGAGCAGCUUGCUCAUAACAAGAAGGUUACAGGAUCAUACCCUGUUAGGGGGA
rnacentral:tRNA from 1 species